UACGAAGGGAGCUAGCGUUGUUCGGAAUCACUGGGCGUAAAGCGCACGUAGGCGGAUGUGUCAGUCAGGGGUGAAAUCCUGGAGCUCAACUCCAGAACUGCCUUUGAUACUGGCGAUCUUGAGUCCGGGAGAGGUGAGUGGAACUGCGAGUGUAGAGGUGAAAUUCGUAGAUAUUCGCAAGAACACCAGUGGCGAAGGCGGCUCACUGGCCCGGUACUGACGCUGAGGUGGCGAAAGCGU
rnacentral:rRNA from 1 species